UACCAGCACCCCGAGUGGUCGGGACGUUUAUUGGGCCUAAAGCAUCCGUAGCCGGUUCUACAAGUCUUCCGUUAAAUCCAACUGCUUAACAGGUGGGCUGCGGAAGAUACUAUAGAGCUAGGAGGCGGGAGAGGCAAGCGGUACUCGAUGGGUAGGGGUAAAAUCCGUUGAUCCAUUGAAGACCACCAGUGGCGAAGGCGGCUUACUGGUCCGGUACUGACGCUGAGGUGCGAAAGCGUGGGGAGCAAACAGG
rnacentral:rRNA from 1 species